AGAAGGGGUCUGAGAAAGAACAAUGGCUGCACGUGUUCAUAUAGUAACCUGGAACUCCCUCCCCAGGCUACACGUGCUCUGGGAUCAUUGUCUGAAGUGCUCAACAGCUCUGCUAAGUGCAGGUAAGUUCCAUUUAUAGAUGUGGGUGCUAGGACUGCAGAGUACCCUAUACAACGUUCAUGAAACAGUGAAUGUGUGUGUGGUGGGGGGACUUAAUUAUUCAUUUUAUUGCAAAAUAGAAUUGUUGGAAUAAAAUCACAGGUGUAAAAACAGGAACUGACAGCAAACUUCACUAAACUAAGAUUAGAUAUGCUGUUAUUAUUUUGCCUUACUGUUCAGACUCCUUCCAGAAGGUGGUUGCCACAGAAAAUCAGAAAGGAGGACGUGGAUAACCUUCCAUUUCAAAACAUGGGGCUGAGAUCCUAAGUGAUGAAGCUUAACAUUGCAGUUAAGGGACAAGCUGGUCUCACGGGCAUCCUGCUAUCAUUCCCUGAGAAGGACAUAUCACCUUUGUUGUGUUCAUGUCCAAAAUGUCUUACUGAAUCUAAUUAGUGAGGCAAAGUCUACAAACACCCCGACCUUUUCAAAAAUGUCCAUGUCAUGAGAGAGAGACUUAGGAACAGUUUCAGACGGAAGAAGACUAAGGAGAAUAUAAUUAAUGUGUGAUUAUGGAUUGGAAACUGGAUUGAGAAAAGAUUAAGCUGUAAAGGACGUUAUUGCAAUGACCAGGGACACUUGACUAUAGAAUUUAUAUUAGAUAAUAGGAUUGCAUCAAUAUUAAAUUUCUCAUGUGUGAUCAUUGUAUUGUGGUUCUGCAGGAUAAUGUUCUUUUUCUUAAAAGAUGUAUGCUGUGGAGUGACAUGGUGCUGAUAACUCAAAUGGUUAGAAAAAGAAAAGCAGUUGACUACAUACACAGAGAGAAAAAGGCAAUUAAAGCACUGUUAACAAUUGGUGAAUCUAGGUAAAAAGCAUAUGGGUGUUUAUUGUACUAUUCUUGCAACUUUUUUUGGAUUUAAAAUUUUCCAAAACAAAAUGCUGGGAAAAACUUUAAAAAAAUAAAGAUGAGGCAGUGUCUGGAGAUCAAACACAUACACAUAUACAAACACUGAAAAAAAAAAAAAAAAAGAUGUGCUCUGUUCUCUUCAAAAGCAGGAAAAAGAAUCUCAAAGAACCUAGUCUACCAAAAAACACAGUCCUUAUGCCAUUGAACUAAGAACAAAUAAUUAAACUGUCUGUUUUGAGUAUUAAAACAGUGAUCUUCCACUGAUGCCUAGUAAUAAAGAUUAAUUAGAUUGGUCAGUGAACUCAAUUUAUAACUUGUACAGAAUUAUGUUGAAGCAGGUUGGGCUACCUCCUGUAUGAGUGAGAAGAAGUGGGGCAAAAAAUAUAGGCAUGAUCAGCCCACCACGCAGCACUUCAAGCUAAAGAGAGCCUGGAAAUUCAUGGUUCAUUUACCUGGGAUCUGAUGCAUUUGCUUACCAUUUUGGCCCCUGAAUUCAGAAUGGGCACUGCAAGGCAGUGCAGAAAGCACACUUUUGCAAGUAGAAAAAAGGCGAGGCAUUACCUUUGAAGGCCUACCUGUUUCACCUG
rnacentral:lncRNA from 1 species